UUUGUAGAAUGAACCGGCGAGUUACGAUUUGAUGCAAGGUUAAGCAGUAAAUGUGGAGCCGUAGCGAAAGCGAGUCUGAAUAGGGCGUUUAGUAUUUGGUCGUAGACCCGAAACCAGGUGAUCUACCCUUGGUCAGGUUGAAGUUCAGGUAACACUGAAUGGAGGACCGAACCGACUUACGUUGAAAAGUGAGCGGAUGAACUGAGGGUAGCGGAGAAAUUCCAAUCGAACCUGGAGAUAGCUGGUUCUCUCCGAAAUAGCUUUAGGGCUAGCCUCAAGUGAUGAUUAUUGGAGGUAGAG
rnacentral:rRNA from 1 species